UUUUUUUUUUGGAUACUGGGUGUUUCAUAAAACUUUAAAUCAAGAGUACAAAGAGAAACAUCUUCGGCCUCAUCUCAUAUAAACAAAUGCUUAAUCCCUCUGAUUUCUCCAUUUGGUACUAUUUUGCUGGGUAUAAUAAGAACCAUAAAGUGGAGAAAAGAAAUAUACCAAACAACUGCUGGCCAGGCUAGUGAAUGAAUAGCAAACUUAGGAGGGAUCAUCCCAAGGAUCUGGCAAAGUCAAACAUAACUGUAAGCCUCUGUUUAGCUCUAUUAGCCAUGGCAGCGUUUCUACACUUCUAAACUGAAAUUAAAGUCAUAGCCACAAAAUCCAACCACCAGAGGGCGCUGUGGGACAUUCUCUAGUCUCAUUCUUCAUACUUAAUUCCUUCAUCCUUUCUCCUUGAAAGAAACUUUCUCUCUUCCAUUUCAAGUCCCAUCAUACUUGGAGAGCAAAGCCAUUUCAUACUGUUGUUAGGAUUACAGGGAAUCAAUCUUAUUGAUUGUAAGGUGAAAAAUUUUUAUGUUUUGGAGUUCCCUUGUGGUACAAUUGGUUAAAGAGCCUAUGUUGUCCCUGCAACUGCUCAGGGUUACUGCGCCUGUGGUGCAAGUUCAAUCGCUGGCCCUGCAACUUCCACUUUCUUGGCUGCGGGCACAACCAAGAAAAAAAAAAAAGUUUUAUAUUUUCUGUUAUGUCAGACUACCCAUGGGAGAAGGGGGGAAUAUGGUGCUUAAUUCACAACAGCAAUCUUAUAAUUUACCAUUUAAAAAAAAAACCCUAAUUAACCUUUUUUGGUCUUUACCUAAUACAUAUUUAAUUUAGCUUAGUUUUUCUCUCCUCACCAGAAGAUGAGGUCUCUGACCUGCGAGGAAUUUUCUUUAAGUAAUUCCCUAGCACUGGUUGGUCAUGGAUUGCUGAUGCCCUUAGAAACUGUAGUGACAUAAAGUAAAUGUGCUUAUUAAUCCCUGUCCUGGGGGUCUUUGUCCUCAUGGGGUCUGCCUUUCUAUCCCACUUGGCUCUCAAGUCUUAAUUUUCAUUUGUCUCUAAGAGCAGAGCUCUGUGAGCUGGAGCUCCACACUCAACAGUCGAGAGGCUCAAGUCUAAUUACCUUAAAAAAAAAUUACUUCAAGAAAUGAAAUGGGAUUCUAAAAAUUAUUAUAUAAAAAUUACUCUUCAUAAACGUGCAGAGAUUAAAAUAAUAUACUUCUUACCGAGGAGGAAAAUUAUUUUGUAAUAUUUUGCUUCCAUUUUUUAAUUAAAUAAAAUAUCACUAAUGAAGCUGAAAUCCUCUUUUUAUCCCUUCAUUUUGGAGAGAUGAAUGUAGUAUGUUUUAUGUAUUUAUAUAUAUAUAUACAUAUAUAUAUAUAGUAUUGGUCUGUAAUUCUUUUUUAGGUUUCAAAUAGAAUCAUAUUCAGUGAAACACACAACAUAAUUUAUUCCCCCAACAUUAUUUUUUCAAGAUCUGUUGAAAUGCAGGGUCUUAAUGUGAAUAUCACAUAAUAUUCCAUCAUAUGAAUGGACCAGGUUCUAAUGGUCCAGUCCCUGUUUCAAGUUGGAAGCUUUAGAUGCUAAUCCAGAAAGGUGUGUUGUGGGACUUUCCUCCCCUAAUGAUAGUCAAAUGAUCUGACACCCUCUAUAGCAGGUAUCUCUCAUCUAUAGCAAGUAUUCUAACCCCAGGACAUACGUACUUGGUUACACAUUUGUUCAAAACACAGGCUUUAGGUACUAGUUCACAGCUGAUCUUAACCUGCGGAUUUUUUUGAACGCUAUCUUCUUAUGAUCAAAUCAUCAGUGUUCGUGGCUGGGAUGCAGUUUUUGCUGUGGGUCUUUAUGGUGCUGUUUCCUUUUGACCACCAUUCAAAUUCUCUAAGCUCUGCAGAAGGAGGAGGGACUUCCCUUAUGCCUCUGUUUGUAGGGAGCACAUAUUAUUGCUGAAAUAGAACUAACAAUUCUGCGUAUAACACAUCAUCAAGUAUCCUCCCAGAAAAAAAGUAAUCCAGAAGUCUUCCAAGUUAAUCUUUCUACUAUUCAUAUCAUGUGAGUUAUGAAUACAGUAAGCAUUACAAAGUGUGAGCAAUGUUGCCAGUUAACUCUAAGCAAAAGGAUUUUACUGAAGAAAUGGGACUGAGCAGGUUUGAACAGACAAAGAGGUGAGACGUUUUGCUCUCAGAAGGAAAAGUGCAUGCAGCACAAAGAGAAAGGUACAUGUAUGGUAGAAGCAGAAAUAAGGUCCUUCUUGGUAGAGGAGUAAACUGCUGUUAGAUAAGGAAGAUAGAACUAAACUUUGGUCAACUAUCUAAUUGGAUACAGAGAACUCCCUACCAAGAGGUGCUAAACCAAAACCACUGGUCUCUUUUUUUUUUCUCUCUCUCUCUUUAGGGCCACAACUGCAGCAUAUAGAGGUUCCCAGGCUAGGGAAUUGAGCUGCAGCUGCCAGCCUAUGCCACAGCCACAGGAACACCAGAUCCAAGCCGUGAAUGUGACCUACACCACAGCUCACAGCAACGCCAGAUCCUUAACCCACUGAGCGAGGCCAGAGAUUGAACUGCAUGCUCAUAGAUACGAGCCAGGCUCACAACCUACUGAGCCACAGUGGGAACUCCCCCAAAACACUGGUCUUGAUGGAAUGAAUGGAAUCCAACAACAACACAGAGAAAAAAAACAAACUGGAAACAAAUCCAACUAUGGAUUCCAAGCGAAUUAACCUAACCACUUCCAUGGAAACCUGCAGUCAGACCUUUAAGAUUAAAAACAAAUUAGUAAUUAAUGGAGUAGAAAAUAAUUUAAAAUAAUUGUUUUUGUCAAAGGUGAUAGUUUUAAGAAACAGAGGUCAUGGGAGUUCCCGUUGUGGCAUAGCAGAAACAAAUCCGACUAGUAUCCAUGAGGAUAAGUGUUCAUUCCCUGGCCUGGCUCAGUGAGUCAGGGAUCUGGUGCUGCCAUGAGCUAUGGUGUAGAUGGAAGACGUGGCUUGGAUCCUGCAUUGCUAUGGCUGUGGCGUAGGCCAGCAGCUACAGGUCCAAUAUGACCUCCUAGCCUGGGAACUGCCAAAUACUGUGGGUGUGUCCCUAAAAAGCAAAAGAAAGAAAGAAAGAGAGAGGGAGGGAGGAAGGAACAGAGGUCACAGGGGCCAGUCUCCAAGGCACUGGAGAGAGGGUUCAGGGUGGCACUGCAGGGUGGCAUUUACCCAGCACCAUCAUCCUCUACAGAAGCCACCUGCUGCUGACCAGCACAAGCUUCUUUGCUGCUCUCGGUUACCGGGUCUGGGACUGACGGAGCCUGGGGCCAUGCUCCUUGAGUGACCAGGAAGGAGCUCAAGAAGCCGAGUCAGACGUUAUGGGGUUGGAGCCAGAAGUCAGCUUGGCCUUCCAUCAAAACAUACAAAGAAAGGGAUUCCCCAACCCUGUUGCAAAGAUCGGGCCACUGAAAAAUAGACAAUGAGUCUUCCUACCUACAUAUUAAUUGGUAUUUUCCUAAGGAUGCAAUUAAAAUAAUUUCAGUGACUUUCUUCUGCUAGGAUUUAAAUAGCAAUGCCGAUGUGGUCCAACACAUAGGCCCAGGCGUUGCUGGGGCAACCAGGUCUCUAGGUGACCUUGGCUUCCCCCGGGGGUUGCAUACAUGAGAGUGCUGUCCAUCUCCC
rnacentral:lncRNA from 1 species